UACCCAUAUACAUCUCUUUCUCUCCUGUAUAAAAUGCUAGUACCCCUUCAGCAUGCAGGCUUCAUGUCAAUAUACCUCUGUCUCUCCGUCUGCGCAGUACGACUAGCAUCUCAUAGAAACAUGCACACACCACAAUACGGAUUGUUUAAAUACGAGACUGUAAUGGAUAACAAUGUAACUACUUGAAAGCAGCCAGCACGCGGCCUGGCGCUGUCUAAUGCUGCUAUCGUGGAUGAUGAUGUGGUUCUAUGGUGGUGUGUUCGCUGCUGUUUACAGCAGCCGACAUGGCGGAUGUUGGCCAGUUAGCCGGGUGUCCACACUGGUUCGACCCACAACCGGGCUGGUGGCUACCGUCUCAAGGUGACACAACGACCCCUACCACAAGCAGUCGUCUCACAAUACAUUAUCUGGAAGAGAGGAAAUAAGGCUUACGCUGAUCUGAACAGUAUUUCAGUUACAUAAUGGCGUAAAGGGUUGAUGUGGAAGGAAAGCCACAGGUUAAAGACAUUUCAACACUUUUGAAAACCUCAAGAGUCUGAGAAUGGUGCUAAGCUCACCAAAUGAUCAUUAUCAAGUGAUUCUGGGAUGCAAAUCUAUGACCCAAGGAUUACGGAAUGCUAAAGUGUGUACAAGGAAAUGUAGCACCCCACAUACAUCUGUGCCAUGAUUGUGGAUUUUAAAUUUUUUAGUUAUUUUUCACCGAAAGCAUUUUUCAGUCUCGAUCAGAUGAAAGGAAGUCCAGAAAAC